GAUGAACGCUGGCGGCGUGCUUAACACAUGCAAGUCGAACGGAAAGGCCCAAGCUUGCUUGGGUACUCGAGUGGCGAACGGGUGAGUAACACGUGGGUGAUCUGCCCUGCACUUCGGGAUAAGCCUGGGAAACUGGGUCUAAUACCGGAUAGGACCACAUUUUGGAUGGUGUGGUGAAAAGUUUUUCGGUGUGGGAUGAGCUCGCGGCCUAUCAGCUUGUUGGUGGGGUAAUGGCCUACCAAGGCGUCGACGGGUAGCCGGCCUGAGAGGGUGUACGGCCACAUUGGGACUGAGAUACGGCCCAGACUCCUACGGGAGGCAGCAGUGGGGAAUAUUGCACAAUGGGCGCAAGCCUGAUGCAGCGACGCCGCGUGGGGGAUGACGGCCUUCGGGUUGUAAACUCCUUUCGCUAGGGACGAAGCGCAAGUGACGGUACCUGGAGAAGAAGCACCGGCUAACUACGUG
rnacentral:rRNA from 1 species